UCUCCCUUCACGUGAACAAAUCUCCUUCACCCACAAAAUCUUUGCUUUUCAGAAAAGUUUGGCAUUUUGUCUCAAUUUUUAUCUUUUGCCUAAAAGUUUCACUAUCUUUCUCUCUCAUCUCUUUUCCUAUACGCCUCUCCACCUCUUACCUCUCUCAUCCAACUUUCAAACUUCAUCUGCCAUAGACAAAGUGUGUCCAUCUAUUUUGGUGAAAGUCAUCCUUCUCUCUCUCUCCCUCUGUUCCCCUGUGUGUAGUAGCAGAAAGCAAAUUUGGCUUCAUCUCUAUUUUGAUGAAAAUUGUGACUUCCCUCAACCUGAACCAGAAAAAGUGCUCCUCAUUUUUGUGAAAGUCUCCUGAAUCACUUCGUCACCAUUUGUAGCAAGGAUUUUUAACCGUUGGUGAACGUCUAUUUUGAAUCAAUUUCAGAUCCUGCCCAAAACCAAGAACCCUAACUCCCAUCUAUAAAUAUAAGCUUGGAGCUCAUUUUUGGGAGAAGCAAGUUCGCGGUCGGAGUUCGGUAGAUCGAAAUCCCCUGCUUCGGUUCACUGCCCCAAAACAAGUCAGUGUUCUUUCUUUCACUUGCUUUUGUUUAUUUUAAAUAAUUUAUGCUCUGUCAUGUAGUUUAAAGAUUGUUGAUCUGCUUCGCUGCUCCUGUGCGUUUAGAUGUCGCGACUAUAGAAAUCUAUUGUUUCCAUGUAACUGAUUGAUAAAUGACGACAAAAAAAAAUGCUUAUGUGAUCA